GAUCCGUUAGCUCAGUUGGCAGAGCAUCUCACUUUUAAUGAGAGGGUCGUUGGUUCAAAUCCAACACGGGUCACCA
rnacentral:tRNA from 1 species